GAUGAACGCUAGCUACAGGCUUAACACAUGCAAGUCGAGGGGCAGCAUGGUCUUAGCUUGCUAAGGCCGAUGGCGACCGGCGCACGGGUGAGUAACACGUAUCCAACCUGCCGUCUACUCUUGGACAGCCUUCUGAAAGGAAGAUUAAUACAGGAUGGCAUCAUGAGUCCGCAUGUUCACAUGAUUAAAGGUAUUCCGGUAGACGAUGGGGAUGCGUUCCAUUAGAUAGUAGGCGGGGUAACGGCCCACCUAGUCUUCGAUGGAUAGGGGUUCUGAGAGGAAGGUCCCCCACAUUGGAACUGAGACACGGUCCAAACUCCUACGGGAGGCAGCAGUGAGGAAUAUUGGUCAAUGGGCGCAGGCCUGAACCAGCCAAGUAGCGUGAAGGAUGACUGCCCUGUGGGUUGUAAACUUCUUUUAUAAAGGAAUAAAGUCGGGUAUGGAUACCCGUUUGCAUGUACUUUAUGAAUAAGGAUCGGCUAACUCCGUGCCAGCAGCCGCGGUAAUACGGAGGAUCCGAGCGUUAUCCGGAUUUAUUGGGUUUAAAGGGAGCGUAGAUGGAUGUUUAAGUCAGUUGUGAAAGUUUGCGGCUCAACCGUAAAAUUGCAGUUGAUACUGGAUAUCUUGAGUGCAGUUGAGGCAGGCGGAAUUCGUGGUGUAGCGGUGAAAUGCUUAGAUAUCACGAAGAACUCCGAUUGCGAAGGCAGCCUGCUAAGCUGCAACUGACAUUGAGGCUCGAAAGUGUGGGUAUCAAACAGGAUUAGAUACCCUGGUAGUCCACACGGUAAACGAUGAAUACUCGCUGUUUGCGAUAUACUGCAAGCGGCCAAGCGAAAGCGUUAAGUAUUCCACCUGGGGAGUACGCCGGCAACGGUAAAACUCAAAGGAAUUGACGGGGGCCCGCACAAGCGGAGGAACAUGUGGUUUAAUUCGAUGAUACGCGAGGAACCUUACCCGGGCUUAAAUUGCAGAUGAAUUACGGUGAAAGCCGUAAGCCGCAAGGCAUCUGUGAAGGUGCUGCAUGGUUGUCGUCAGCUCGUGCCGUGAGGUGUCGGCUUAAGUGCCAUAACGAGCGCAACCCUUGUUGUCAGUUACUAACAGGUUCCGCUGAGGACUCUGACAAGACUGCCAUCGUAAGAUGUGAGGAAGGUGGGGAUGACGUCAAAUCAGCGCGGCCCUUACGUCCGGGGCUACACACGUGUUACAAUGGGGGGUACAGAGGGCCGCUACCACGCGAGUGGAUGCCGAUCCCAAAAACCUCUCUCAGUUCGGACUGGAGUCUGCAACCCGACUCCACGAAGCUGGAUUCGCUAGUAAUCGCGCAUCAGCCACGGCGCGGUGAAUACGCUCCCGGGCCUUGUACACACCGCCCGUCAAGCCAUGGGAGCCGGGGGUACCUGAAGUGCGUAACCGCGAGGAGCGCCCUAGGGUAAAACUGGU
rnacentral:rRNA from 1 species